AUGGAUAGUGGCUUUAUAAAAGAGAGGAAGGUCACACUCUUGAGAGGAUCCUUAGCUUCAGCCAUUCAACUUUCCCUCAAGCCUACAACUUGUGAACAGGGGAGCGUUUGCAGUAAUAUUUUCUGGUUUGGUGGCUGUCAGAGGGUAAAAGAUGAGGGAUGUCGCAAUGGAGGAGUUUGGAGCUGCUGCUUCGUACCUCAGGAAGACAUCGAGCAUCUGGAGGCCCAAACUCGCUCCUUUGACAUGAAGAAAGAAUGUUUCGUUCCUGAUCCUGAUGAAGAGUAUGUGAAAGGAGUAGGGACGGUGAUAAAGUCACCUGUGAGACUGAAAGAGGCAAACGGAGAAUCCGGUGCUGGAAAGACUGUGAACACCAAGAGAGUCAUUCAGUACAUCGCCAGCAUUGCUGCUAGUCCCUCAAAGAAGGAAGCCAGUGAUAAGAAGACAAAUUCCCCAGAUCACACAUUGCUUUCUGUAAUGUAAUGGUUAUACUACUACCCAGUGGAGCUUUCUAGACAGCUGGAAGAGAAGGAUUCCUUGGUCUCUCAGCUAACAAGAGGCAAGCAGUCCUACACCCAGCAGAUUGAGGACCUCAAGAGACAACUAGAGGAGGAAAUUAAGGUAUUGCAACUACAAGUUCAGUGUUAUAGAAUAGAACAGAAAGCCACGGUACAAGGACAGUCUUUGGUCAACCGCGAUUCAGAUCUCACACUAAGGUGUUCAAACUUUUUUAGCUUAUUAACUCAGAUUGGUCUACACCACUAGAAAUUAAGCCUCUGAUGAAUCCAAAGUCCAGAAACAACCAAGGUUGGUACUUGAACCCAGAAGUUUAGAGUAACACAGUGCAGCGUUCAUUCACCUUAAUCACUGAACUGCUUUGUCACUCAAACCCACACUCCUCAAAGAGACUAGAGCCUUAUCCUACAGCUUUGGGCC
ensembl:lncRNA